CGUUGGUCUCGCGAGAUGUACUGACCUGGUCGCUCGUUUGCGUUCAAACCUUAUGGUUUAAACUUUAAACGGUCCAAAUAAAACUUUACCACCAUCUAGCGGUUUUUAUAAACACAAACUUUUCAAUUUAAUCCAGUAUUAAAACAUGUCAAUGAAGCGUUAUCAUGUUUUGUUUUUAUGCAGAAACGUUGUAAGCAAUAACUCGUGUAAAUUACCGAGUGGACAUAAAGUGACACCUUAAUAUUUUGACCUCCUGCGCAGUUCUGCCAUUUCUACUGAGCCGUGCUCGAGAAGAAAUCUCAUGGACAGCAGCAGAAAGAAGUUGUCCUUUAAGUGGCUACGAACUACAAUCACCUCACCCACACAGCUUCAGCAGAGAGAUGCUGGCCCAGGCACACCCCCUCACUGGAAUAUGUCACUGAAUGAAGAUUCAAAUACUUUGCCCCUCUGUGACUCUCCAGGACCUGAUGGCCUUGGAGCACUGAGUCUGGACACUCCCAAGAGGAAGGCACAGGAGCCUGGCGAAAGCACAGCCUCUUUAGGCAAACUUAAACUGAGGAAGCUUUCCAGGAAAAAUUGUGAAGAUUUCAUAAUUUCAGAGGAGAAACCUAUGGACAAGUCAUCCCCUCAGCUGGAACACUCAGAGAGCAAGCAAGUAUAUUCACCUCCACUUCACUCUUACUUCAUGAAGGAGGCUAUCUACAGGAGGGCAUUGAUAGCAGCCGUUGACAGCUCAAGAGCAAGUGGUAGCAAUACAAAUAUCCCCAUGACUUCACCAUUGAAGACUGAAGAGCCCAGUCCGCUGUCACUUGACAGAACGUUCACGAGUAUUGAGUGUUCACCAAUCAAAUCUGAGAAUAAAUCUAAGAACAACAGCAGUUUACAGGAAGAACAGUGGGACUCCACCCUUCAGUUGUUUGAGGACAUUGAAGCCCAAGAUGACGGCACAGAGCUAAAAACAGACAGAAGGAGUGUUGUGUUAAAAGAAGGAGAUUCACCAAAGAGGUUUGUUGCUCCGGACUCUCCAGACAAGUUAUUUGCUACAGAAAAUAGACCAGAAGACGAAUGCUGUGGCACGUCCCUCUCUGCCCUCGAGUAUAUCCCAGAUUCUUCAUGUUGUUUCUCGACUCAUCAGAAAGGCUCUCCUGACAGCCAACAAUGGAAAAGUCCUUCAGUGAAUACCCAGGGAGCUACAACUUCCUCUCUCACCUUUUCAUACACUAAUGAAACCCCUGAGGUCGUCCAGGCAGCUGCUAAGGAGAUGGAGAGGCCUUUCUCACGGUCAGUUUUUGUCUCAUUCAAGGAGCCGCACCCAACAAAAACGGCCCCUUUAAAGGGAUCCAGAGUUGAGACUGAGAGUUUCCGCUCCUCUAACAUUAUGUCCCAUUUAUCGGAUCCCUUUGCUCUGCCACUAUACUCAAAAAGAGGAGUGUUGAACCCUCACUUGAACUCCACAACCCCACGCAGGAAGUCAGAUACUGGCUCUUCCAUGCGCCAACCCCCCAACUCCUUUACUCAGGGUGGCACUUCUAAAAGAAGAUUAUCCAUGGGAGCAGCACCUUUGUGGACCAGUUACCCCUACCUGGACAGUCAGGUUGGUUUCAUCGACACACACUGUCAUAUAGACAUGCUCUAUGGAAAGCUUGGCUUCUGCGGGACAUUCAACAGCUUUCAAAGGCAAUACCAAAGCAGCUUUCCUCCGGAGUUUAGAGGCUGCAUUGCCAACUUCUGCAACCCAAGGAUCAUGGUGAAGGAGGCCCUUUGGGAAGGUUUACUGGCUGAAGACAUGGUAUGGGGGGCGUUUGGGUGCCACCCCCACUUUGCCAAAGACUACUCAAGUGCCCAUGAACGCGAUAUACUAAUGGCCAUGCGGCAUCCAAAAGCUGUGGCGUUUGGUGAGAUUGGCCUGGACUACUCUCACAAAAACUCCACUGAACACUCCAAGCAAAAAGAGGUGUUUGAGCGUCAGCUGCGUUUGGCUGUGGCAAUGCACAAGCCUCUGGUGAUCCACUGUAGGGACGCAGAUGAUGACCUGCUGGAAAUCAUGAAGAAGUGCGUCCCGAGGGAAUACAGAAUUCACAGGCACUGUUUCACCAACAGUUAUCCAGUGAUUGAGCCCUUCCUGACAGAGUUCCCAAACCUGUAUGUGGGUUUCACGGCCCUGAUCACCUACUACAAGGCUGCCGAGGCCCGAGAUGCUGUCCGCCGGAUCCCUCUGAACCGCAUUGUGUUGGAGACCGACGCACCAUAUUUCCUGCCAAGACAGGUGAGUAAAGAUGUCUGCCGGUUUGCACAUCCUGGAAUGGGCAUCUACACGCUGCAGGAGCUGAGCCUGCUGAAGGGGGAAGACAUGGCCACGGUCCUCAGCACCAUCCGAAACAACACCAUUCAGCUCUACGGCGUGUGAUCUAUGGAUAAUAAAAACUAGCGAGAAAGAGAAGACGGAAUCAAAGUUUUUGAGCUGACGCUGAAUGAUCUCCUGCAGCACGACCCCGUACUCCUCAAAGUCCUGCUCCGUCAAAGUGAGGCCAAUUUCAAAGGGGGCACUUAUCUACUCGGAGCAGAGGAAGAACAUAAAGUUAUAGGGAUGAUUUUGAGUUACGUGGUGUUGUCAUGAGUGUGAUUGCUGCUCACUGUGAUGUGGUUGUCCUCCGUGGGUUCACUAGGCUCCUCCAUGACUUGACGACCGACUCUAGAAGACUUCCCCUUGUUCUGUGGUUAGACCAGAGAAAUCUCAUGAUUGUAACCAAUUCAGCUUUUCAUUAGAAGUUCAAAUGAAUGACCAAUUAUUUUUGGCAAUUCAGAUGCCAUAAAUAAUCCAACUAUCACAUAUCUAAACGAUCCUAAAUUAGGCAGAGCUGUUGCACUAUUUUAAAUUGAUCUCUGUAAAGUAAAUCCAAGUUAACUGAUGUAAUUAAAUAGAGUUGAAUCAAUAUGGAGAAGCUUGCUUAGCCAAAUUAAAAGGAAUAAAUAAAUACAU